rnacentral:lncRNA from 1 species
CCAGACCUUUUGCCUCACGUCGACUGUUCGUGCCCUCUCUUGACAAUCGGCACCAAGAAUACCGAGUCUACUCCGACUGCCGAGAUAGGCUCAACGAUCGACGCAAGGAUGCCAACCAUCUCUAAUCUAGGUUCAGGCCAAGAUUGACGAUCGACGUUUGAACGUUCUUGGACCGAAGUCCCCUCCCCACCGAAAAUACAGCACAAUCGGCCUGGGGGAAACAGACGAAUCAGACUAUGUCCCAACUUCUCCCGAAACAGCAGCUUCUUACCGAUUGGCAGAGCCUAGAGAAUCUCGCCAUCAGAACAACCGGAUAGCAACAGAAGACGAUAGGCGUAGCCAUCUUGUCAGGACCUCUGGU